GCACAGACAUUUCUAUUUCAAAUGUGGUUACUGAUAACAUAUUCUAAGUGGGAUAUUGGUAACUUUUUGGUCUAACAAGUUUAUAUGACAGCUAUGUUUUGUUUUGAUGCAUUUUUCAAGCAGUCUGGUAUCUCAUUUAGGAAGGCUAGAACAAUACACUGAAAAAUGCCAGCUGUUACAAACUGCAUAACUAUUUUCUGUGCCAAAAAAGUAGAACUUUGAUCUUUUCUUCUUGAUCUAACCUAAAAUUCUGAGAAAGCAUUACAUCUUUUUAUUUUCCACAUCCGAGUUCAAAAACAGCACUUGCAUUUUCUCACAUCAGCUUGACUGUAGGUAGCUACCUCCUCUGAAUUUAAUUUUUCCAUGUAGGAGACAAAUAGAAUGGUUCAAUUCUUUGUGUAAAACAAGUCUUGCUAAUACUAGUAAUACCAGCACAGUUAAAAUCAGUGCCUUCCCUGUGGCUUUGAUCAGCCGUUCUCUGGAGCUUUCUAUAGGUCAUAAUCUUAUCCCUAUCUUUUACCAGGGGAGAAGAUAAGAUCCAUAAUGGUGUACUAUAAAACUGAUUGAGCAGGUAGUUAAUUUAUUCAGGAGGGCUGCAUUUCUGAUGCUACAUAAGGGCAAUUGGUGUGCUUUGGUUUCGAUUUUUGUUGGAUUUGUUGUGAGAGGCCAUGGCCUUCAAAAAAACAAGAUGGCAUUUCCCAAUGCUUACAGUGGUCUAGGCGCCUCUGCACUUUGUAGAUGCUGUUAUAUGCCUACAUAAUUGCCAGUCUAAAAGUUGUUUUGCUACACAAAAUAGCUAAAAAGAUGACAAAUCCUUCUAAAAACAGCAAUACUUCCACCUACUUUCCUUUGGACAGGCUUUUCAAACCUGGAUGUCACCACAGGAAGGGAUGAGGGCAGGGAGCAGGCUGGGGCUGUGGUCAAGGAGGGGGAACUUGCUAGGUGCCUAUUUGCACAUCCUGUACAGGCUGAGCAGGGGUUGCACUUUCCCCUUGACCUCCUGCAGCACAACUGAAUUGAGUCCUAAGAGCCGUACAAGAAAUCUGGCAUCAGUACGGCUUCAUUGUUGAGACGUCUCCUUCCUGCAAUUGUUUUUCCAUGGAUUCCUGCUCAGGGCAGGAGAGAAACCCAGCCAGCCUUCUGCUUUUCCCUCUGUAUCCUAGUUAUCCUAGCAAGGCAGUAGCCCUGUUUGCUACUAGGUCAUCCCACCUCCAGCUUGUAAGAGACCCCACAGGGCGAUGCCAUGGAGGUGGGCACACAGGCUUAUGUUCCUGAUCUCCAUCAGUUUGGGAUUGGUUAUGCUCAUCUCUGCACAGCAUGGCAAUGUAUUUUCCAAUAUAGACAGGAACAAAGUCAACUAAAUCCUUGUAAAAGCAAUGAAGGACCUGCUGUCCGAAGGUACCAGCCUAGUGAUUGGUGGUGGAGCAGCAGUGGAUUUUCUUUAGCUGUUGUUCUGAGACACAGACCUGUGUCGUUUGCUUUGGGUUUGUGAAGUUAUGACUCAGUAUUUAGGACUCCAAGGAAAGGCUUGGAGGUUUAAAUAAGCCUUAGCUUUUCAAUACUGUUCAGUGUCAGGAAGCAAGCAAAGCCAGCCCUCCCCUGUCAGGACACUGCUUGCUUUACCCUCCAAACUCUUCUUGGUGAGCUUUACUGUAACUUCACCCAGUGCCUGUGAAUUACUGCCACUAGGCAGCAGCAAUGGGGAUCCCUAACAGAGGUAACAAGACCUGUACUGCACACACACAGCUGUGUUUUUAGCUUCAUGCUCCACAUUAUGUCAUUUUAAAAGGCUCAAAUAUUAGUUCUGUGGAGGAAGACGCUGUAGUUGCUAUGGCAAGGCCUUAAUUCUCAUGCUUGGAGGUAGCAUAAAUGCAAUAGAAUUGCCUUCCCCCAGGCCACACUGAUGCACCCUCCCCGUGGGAAGUGUUCAGGGUCUAGGUCUAGAACCUGGAGGUGGGAGCCAGCUAGCAGGGCCUGGGAGAUGGCAGUAUCUGGCUUACAGUAAUGGAUCAUACGGUCCUUGCAGAAGUACAGGGAACAUGUGUCUUUUAGUUUACCAGUUCCUGGAAUCAUUUCUACAUUCCUUCUGGGAUGGAAAC